rnacentral:rRNA from 1 species
AUGCGCCAUCUCCAUUAUGCUCACAAUCUUCCCUGGUUGUUGAUUGGGGACUUAAACGAAAUUCAGUUUCUACACGAAAAAGAGUGUGGGAAUCCACGCCCACAACAGUAUAUGCAUGCAUUUCAAAAUGCUAUUGAUGAUUGUGAGCUAAGGGAUAUGGGUUUUUUGGGUGAUAAAUUCACAUGCCAUCGAGGACGGAUCCAAGAACGACUAGACAGGGGUUUGGUGAAUGAAGCAUGGGCGAAUCUUUUCCCCAUGGCAGCUUUGGAAAACUUACAGUACAACCACUCGGAUCAUGGACCAUUGUUGGUCAACACUGAACACUAUACUGUGCCCGUUCAUGGCGAUGCAAGACCAUUGAGAUUUGAGUCGAGGUGGUUGCGAGAAGCUAUGUUCAAUGAUACUGUAAUGGACGCUUGGCAGAAAGUAGGAUUGGACCCUACAGCAAUUCGGUUCAUGAGAAGUUAA